AUCCCAGCACAUCAUGGAGAGCUAAGUGACAGAACAGGCAGCUCCUCUUCUCCCUGCUCUCCCCUCCAUGGCCCAUCUCAUCCACCUCUGCCAUCUCCAUGUCCAAGUUCAGGGGCAGCAGUGGUAUGUGAUGUUGGCAGCAGUGCCCAAACAUCAGCAAUCAGUCUACUGCUGUCCCAGCACCAAGCCAGGGGCUGUGAAGGGUGAAGGAGAAGGCUCUUUGGGUCAUCUGACCCUUGUCUCCACUCAAAAUGAGACACCAGGGUGUUCCCCACCCACAUACAUUCAGGAUUGCUGUCUCCAGUCUCUAUUUGAGACAUCAGAGAUGUCAUCAUUUCCAUAUGCUUCUCCUAAUAAAGUAACAUCCAUUUAAA